AAUAUCAAUUAAUUCUAAUAACAUUUCCAAUUAAUUCUAAACUAUCUAAUUAUUCUAACAUUUCUAAUUAUCAUAAUUCUAAACUAAUCAUAAAGAUAUUCAGAACCAAUUAUGAACUAAAUUCUAGAGUUACUCCUAAAAUAUCUAAACUAUCUUCUAAUCCCUAAACCACACCUUAAUUAACUAUAUCCUAAUUAACUAGACCACACCUAUCAACUACACUGUAAUCUAAUUGAUAUCACUUAUACACUACCGCACAAAUCCAGCAACAGGCUGAAGGAAACAAACAACCGAAACAAAAAAAGAGAAAAGUGCUUAAUGGAUAAGUAGCAACACGUUUUCAACCACCACGACUCCGUUUCACCACGAACCUAGGUUCCAUCCCCGUUCGGCCGCGCCGGAGUUCUUCACCGACGGCAGCGGAACUCCUACAAACACGACCUCCACACGGCCAAACUCACUGCGAUUCCCUUAAUCCAAAUCCACUGUUGAUCCAACCUAAUCUCUAUUCGAAAAUGCAAACCGAAGCAAAAGUUCUCACGAACCCUAGAUUGAAUAUCCCCAAAUCCGGUCCUCAUACGGAGGUAAUCGAGCUUGCAAGUUUGGGAGAAUCAUUCACUGGAUCCAUAUUUGCACAAUGAUAAUCAACGCGAGUAAAAUCGGUGGAGUUUCACAUACCUUCGUCGUCGACGGUGACGCACGCGGCGGACGGCGUUUGGAUACUGAUGCGGUACAAAACAAUCGCUUGUCUACUCUCCUAUUCUUCGUCUACUCCAAUCUUCCUCGCCGUUCCCUGGUACUUUGAAUCGUGGCGCUUACGUAUCUUGACUUGUAAUCGUGGAAGGCGCGGUUCGAUUGUUGGAUUCGAGAAGAUUCACUGAAGCAAGGGACACCAUGGAUUGAGGACGGAAUCAAGGUCCAGCAAGAACAGCCGAUGAAUUCGCCGGCAAAGAUGACCGAUGUAACGACGAGGUUAGCGGAAGUUCGUCUCAGAGACUAAGGCGGAGUGGAUUCUAGCUCAACCGAUCAAAGCUUCAACGUGGAGCUUUGAUGGCUUUGUCUCAGAGCUUUGGUAAGGGUGGAAUGGUGGUGAAGAUGCGGAAUAGAAGAUGGAAACUGGAAGAAACAGGUUGAGAGUGAUGAUUGAAGAGGAGUUCUUGGAGGGGGUUGUGGGGUUUUCUGUUAGAGGUUGGUUAGAGGUUUGCUUAGGUUGGAAGAAUGUAGAGAAGGUUGUGUAGGGGAUGUAUGGAGGUUCGCGUGCAUGGAAGGUUGCAGGUUUGGUUAGGGUGAAGAAACUUUGGUUGAAUGGUGAUGGCGGUGGUAGAAGAAACUGGUGAAUUGUUGAAUUAUGGGAAAGAUGAUGGAAGAAACUUGGAUUGAAGAUGGAGGAUGGUUCUUAUAGGAGAGUAAGGUUAGAGAGAUGGUUGGUUAUGGAGUUUUGGAGAUUUUGAUGAAGGUGAUGGUGAAUUAAAAAACGGUUACGGUGGUUGAAGGAUUGGAAGAGUUUGUGAUGGUGGAGGAAUGGAAGAAGAUGGAGGACGAAGAAACGAGAGGUUAGAGGAUGAAAAAGCUUCCUCCAAUUUCUGUUAUUUUUCUGUUAUGGAUCCUCUCUCCUUUCUGUUAUGACUUUGCACUAUUUAUACUCAUACAAGAAUGAAGAUUUCUGUUAUUUCAUUAUGCAGGAAAUUAAUUUUGAUUUUAUGCAGAA